AGCUCUUCCCAAAGAGCUGCAUGCCGACAACGGCAAAGAUGAAGACGAUGAUGGCCAACACCAAGGUGCCUGCUUAGUUAUUAAGGGAGGAGUAAAAAAUUAUUUGUGGCUCAAAAAGAACUUUCUAAGUAUAUACGUUACUCCGUACAAAUGGAUAUUGAAAGAUGGCUUUAGCUGGAAGUGAGAACCAAGAAUUUCCAGAAGAGAUCUGCAGCUGAACAUAGUGGCACACACCUGUAAACCCAGCACUUGGGAGGCUGAGGCGGAAGGAUAGCCAAGAGUCU